AUUGAACGCUGGCGGCAUGCUUUACACAUGCAAGUCGAACGGUAACAGGCCUUCGGGUGCUGACGAGUGGCGAACGGGUGAGUAAUGCAUCGGAACGUGCCCAGAGGUGGGGGAUAACGCAGCGAAAGCUGUGCUAAUACCGCAUGUGAUCUGAGGAUGAAAGCGGGGGACCAGGCAGCAAUGUUUGGCCUCGCGCCUUUGGAGCGGCCGAUGUCAGAUUAGGUAGUUGGUGGGGUAAAGGCCUACCAAGCCGACGAUCUGUAGCUGGUCUGAGAGGACGACCAGCCACACUGGGACUGAGACACGGCCCAGACUCCUACGGGAGGCAGCAGUGGGGAAUUUUGGACAAAGGGCGCAAGCCUGAUCCAGCAAUGCCGCGUGCGGGAAGAAGGCCUUCGGGUCGUAAACCGCUUUUGUACGGAACGAAAAGGCUCUGGCUAAUACCUGGGGCUGAUGACGGUACCGUAAGAAUAAGCACCGGCUAACUACGUG
rnacentral:rRNA from 1 species